AUUAGAAAACACAAGCCAAAUAAUGUUAGAUACACAGAUACCAUUUAGCAAUGUCGCAAUUCUCAUACAAAAUAUCAUGAAAGGGGUGAUAUUACACUAAAGACGGCCUUGUGUCUGAGAUUUUGCUUGACUUUAUUAGGUACUUUGGCAUGCCUGAGAUGGUUGAAUGAAUGUUGCGUUACUUAAAUAUUUCCUACUUUUGGUUUCUAUACAAGCAGGUACUCAAAGCUGUGUUACAUGGAGACUCUCUACUUUUCAGAGAGCAUCCCGAGCUAUUGGAUGCCUUGGUUCGGGUUUAUUUUCAUUCCAAUUUGAAGAAGUACAAUAGAAUUGAAUGCUGGGGGCCUCUCAAGGAUGCUGUAGAGGGAAGACAAGGGGAUCAUACCAAAGGAAUAACUGCACACAUGGAUUCUUCCCAUCCUCGGGACAAGCAGAGAACGCCAAAAUCAAUAUUUCAAGUUCUAUUUGCAUUCCUUCUUUGAUUCUUUGAAGUCAAUAACUGCACAUAUGGAUUCUUCCCAUCCUCGGGACAAGCAGGGAACGCCAAAAUCCAUAUUUCAAGUUCUAUUUGCAUUCCUCCUUUGAUUCUUUGAAGUCUAUUGCGUAUUAUGAUCUCGAAGUUUUUUAAUACCUUCGAGGCUUGUCAACUUCAACAGCUAACGCCAGAGGCAGUGAAGGAAUCAGCUUUCAUGUGUAAAGUUCAAAUAAUUCUUUGGGAAGACGCAAAAAGGGAAAAAAAAUCAGGUUGAUGUAAAACAAGGACUGUUUGGGGUUCAUAAAACUGA